GCGCGCCGGAAGCACGUGCGCGGGCUGGGCCCUCUGGCGGUGCGCGCCGUGGUGGGCAGAGCGGCAGGCUCCUGAGUAUAACAGAUUGGUUCUGAUUAAAACCAUUUCAGAGGAAAGACAGUGAUCCCAGGAAGCGGGAAGAAAACAGCAUCACCUGAAGUUAUUCCUAUUCGUUAGAUUUGUUUUCUUCCUGCGAAAAACCGCUAUGUACAAGAAAGAAGUCAGUGAGCUGCAGUGAUAGUUAGCGUUAUUGACUGAAACUGGACCAGAGAUCCCUGAAACCUGGACAAGGUGGUAGAAAUACAAAUUAUGCUGCCAUUCCAAAGCUGUGGGCAGUUUUCUACUUUGUGGAAAAUGAAGACUUAGGUAGGCCUUUGGGAAAGAUGAUUUGUUUUGGAAAAACCACCCAAAGGGAUCCAUUGGUUUGCAAAUGUAACUGCAGUAUCACAACUGGAAGAAGAAAUAUGCAAGGGCGAAGUUUGAAGGAGCCACUCAGUAUCCUUGGAUGAUACUGUGGAAGAUUCUUUGCAUCUCAGUAACUUUGGAUCUUUGAAAGAAAAUACAUUUCUUCAAAAUAUUUUUAGAGACUGCUUUGAUUCUGAGGCACUGCUGAUUAUAUGGAAGAAAAAAAUAGUGCAAAAUUGAUUUGUGGUUUUCUCCAGUUAUUGUCUCCCUUCUCUUUGGGGGAGGUUUAUGACACAGUAAAAACAGAUAUACAAUAGCCUAGGCAUGUUGGAGAUUUGCCUACGGGAAAUGUAAUUAUGAAGAAGGAUUUUUUCAAGCUGAAACUAGAUCCCACUUUUUUCCAGGUCAGUGGGUCCUUCAAGUAUCUGGUACUUUCCUUCCUGCUUCCUGACAAUGCUAAAGAAUGUGGCAUGACCUUACAUUUAAUGCCCAACAUGACGAGCCCUGGGGCUUGAUGCAUGAGAUUCUUGGAGCUAGGCCUGGUGGAGGGCACUGGUCACAGCCUUGGUGGAAUGGUGACUUUCUUUGGUAACUGGAAUUGAAGAAAAUGAGUGGACUUGUGUCUGAGCGCUUGGGAACUCAGCAAUCCCUGGGUGUUACCUUGAGAAGGAGCCAAAUUCCGGACAUACAAGUGGAGACUUGAAAAUGGAAGCUCAAUUCCACACCCAAACUGGUGGAGACUAUGACAUAUAACUCACAUCUUCAAGAAAGUAGAGACCUCAGAGGUUACUGGGCCACUUUACCUUCCACUGUCAAAACUAUGUCCAUGAUCAGAUACCUCUGUUGCUAGGGAAUAUUCAGUCAGAAUGGGCUAGAUUAACUGCAGUAAUGCAGAUCUCUCAACCCAUUUAUGACUUACACAGCAAAGUUCCUCACUCAGACUACCUGUCCACUCCCACUAGCAGAGACUUGCUCAUGGGCCCUCCUAGACCCAGGCUGACCGAGUGUGUUUUAUCUAAAUGCAUCUCCACAAUCACUCAGGUAGGAGUGGCUAUGCAUUAGGACGGAUUGUGCGUUAGCUAGAGAAGCACUUACCAGGAAUUGCUAUAAGAACUUGUAUUUACAUUUCAUGGGCCAAAGCAAGUCGUGUGGCAACACUUAAUUUCAAAGAGGACAGGAAAUGCAACAUUAUUAUGUCCCUGAAAGAAUGCAGAAGAGAAAGUCUGUGGAAAGACAUUAUGACUACCACUGGAAUUUUCACCGGUCCAGGUAGCUCAUUGUGCUUUUAUUUGAAACAAUUUUAUUGAAGUAUGAUAGGCAUAACUGCACAUAUGUAUGUAUGUAUUUAUUUUAUUUCCUUUUAUUUUUUGAGAUGCAGUCUUGCUUUGUUGCACAGGCUGGAAUGCAGUGGUGUGAUCUCAGCUCAUUAUGACCUCUGCCUCCCAGGUUCAAGUGAUUCUCCUGCCUCAGACUUCUGAGUAGCUGGGAUUACAGCCACGCGCCACCACACCUGGCUAAUUUUUGUAUUUUUAAUAGAGACGGGGUUUCACCAUGUUGGCCGUACUGGUCUCAAACUCCUGACCUCAGGUGAUCCGCCUGCCUCAGCCUCCCAAAAUGCUGGGAUUACAGGCGUGAGCCACCGCGCCCGGCCUGCACGUAUUUAAAGUGUACAUUUUGAUAAUUUUUGAUAUAUGUGUACGCUUGUGCUUGCUGCUCCAGGGGACUGCUAUUUCUAGGCCUUUUCAGUGGACGGAGGCAUUUUUGUGAUUGUUUUAUCUCAUUUGUUGCUUAGGAAGAAUAACUUCUUGUGAGGUUUAGUGGUGGUUUUGGGGUUGAUAGUAUAGGGCUUCAUCACAGUCCACCUCCAGGUGAUAAUACACUACUUUAUACAGAGUAUAGGAAACUCACAACCAUUUGCUUCCAUCCUCCCUCAGCAUCUGUGCUGAGGAUGUUGUACUUCUACAUAUGUUGUACGCCCACAUACAUUGUUAUUGUUUCUACUUAAUAAGCUACUAAUUCUGUGUCUCUCUUUUCCUUUUAAUUGUGGUAAAAUAGACGUAAAAUGUACCAUCUCAACCAUCUUGAAAUGUACAGUGGCAUUAAAUAUAUUCCCAUUGUUGUGCAA